UUCUUCUUCGUUUUUCCAAGAGAAAAUCAAAUGUUAAGCAAUACGAAAAGGAUAAAGAAAAACUGUAUUGAUACAGUUUAUCAUUGACUGAAACAGAAUAUAUCAAUGUAUGUUUUUUGUGAUUCGAUUGCUAAAGUUAUUCAUUAGCCAUAAUAUGAUAAUAGCCACCAAGUGUUGUUAUGGGUGUCAAAAUGGGCCUUUUUGGCCCAAUACAGAAUCUGCUCCUACCCUG
rnacentral:lncRNA from 1 species